GCUUCCGGUUUCACCAGGAACUUCAUCUUCCCGUUACCAUGGAGCUUCCUGCCACCAGUCCUUCCUAGCCAUAGUGUAUUCCCUCAAACUGUGAGACAAAAUAAGCUCCAUCUUCACUUUGUACAUAGAGAGAGGCACUGCAGAGACCUUCUGGCAUUUUGGUUGAGUCUUGCCAAUUUGGUGGAGACCUGGCUAUUUCUGCUGGAUCAUGCUACCACUGCUGCUUCAUGUUUGAUGACACUUUUGAACUGGACUGCUGGCAUCCUGACAACAAAGAUUGGAAUCACCUCCAACUACUUCUACAUAGGUCGACAUCCCUUUGUCCUAUUUACCACCUUUUCUCCCCUACCUUUGGACAGUGGGCUAAAGGAGGGCAGGGUUGAAACAAUGGAGAACCCUUAUUAAAGGAGAUUUUGAAAAAUCUAA